GAUGAAUGCUGGCGGCGUGCCUAACACAUGCAAGUCGAACGGAGUCGUUUUGGAAAUCUCUUCGGAGAUGGAAUUCUCGACUUAGUGGCGGACGGGUGAGUAACGCGUGAGCAAUCUGCCUUUAAGAGGGGGAUAACAGUCGGAAACGGCUGCUAAUACCGCAUAAAGCAUUAAAUUCGCAUGUUUUUGAUGCCAAAGGAGCAAUCCGCUUUUAGAUGAGCUCGCGUCUGAUUAGCUAGUUGGCGGGGUAACGGCCCACCAAGGCGACGAUCAGUAGCCGGACUGAGAGGUUGAACGGCCACAUUGGGACUGAGACACGGCCCAGACUCCUACGGGAGGCAGCAGUGGGGAAUAUUGCGCAAUGGGGGAAACCCUGACGCAGCAACGCCGCGUGAUGGAAGAAGGCCUUCGGGUUGUAAAGAUCUUUAAUCAGGGACGAAACAAAUGACGGUACCUGAAGAAUAAGCUCCGGCUAACUACGUG
rnacentral:rRNA from 1 species